rfam:Populus trichocarpa scaffold_24_contig_1, whole genome shotgun sequence.
UCUAGAACUCAAGAUAUGGCCUGAACACUGAACAGUGUUUGGGCUACAUGAUAAAUUCUGACUUUUUUUUUGUUGCUACAAUUUGAAUUUCAACACGAUCGUUUUGAAUCUUGGACUCUCAUGAAAGUUUUAGGCUUAUGUCUUAGCUUUUCAUC